AUUGAACGCUGGCGGCAGGCUUAACACAUGCAAGUCGAGCGGGGUGAUGGUGCUUGCACUAUCACUUAGCGGCGGACGGGUGAGUAAUGCUUAGGAAUCUGCCUAUUAGGGGGGGACAACAUCUCGAAAGGGAUGCUAAUGCCGCAUACGUCCUACGGGAGAAAGCAGGGGAUCACUUGUGACCUUGCGCUAAUAGAUGAGCCUACGUCGGAUUAGCUAGUUGGUGGGGUAAAGGCCUACCAAGGCGACGAUCUGUAGCGGGUCUGAGAGGAUGAUCCGCCACACGGGGACUGAGACACGGCCCAGACUCCUACGGGAGGCAGCAGUGGGGAAUAUUGGACAAUGGGGGGAACCCUGAUCCAGCCAUGCCGCGUGUGUGAAGAAGGCCUUAUGGUUGUAAAGCACUUUAAGCGAGGAGGAGGCUCUUUUGGUUAAUACCCAAGAUGAGUGGACGUUACUCGCAGAAUAAGCACCGGCUAACUCUGUGCCAGCCGCCGCCGUAACAC
rnacentral:rRNA from 1 species